CUUGUUUUAUGUGUGUUUCUAUCAAAUACACUUUAUUGAAUAUAUAUUUUUGAACUUUCUCUCUGUAUAUAUAUAUAUAAAUAUUAAGACAUUGAACUCAUGGCGAAUGGCCCUUGCCUGGAGGAAGCUUAUCUAACACACGUGUUGUCUCUGUGAGGCACAUCACAGUGAGAUCACUGACAAAAAGCACAAAAAUGGCACUAAAUAGACUGUAAAAAGGACACUUGUUGACAUAGGGGAGCUGAAACAGGCAGUGUCACCUUUUCGACCUCAGCUGGGAACAUACACGUGGAGAGACUCAAAUCUUUUGCUCUGUGUGUGUCUGCAAAUGCACAAAGGCACGGUGAGUGUUGAUUUUGAGAUUAUAAACCGACUUCAGUGAGUCAAUGAAUUUGCAGAUGUCCUUGAAUAAUGACAGUCAACUGUCUCUAAAAAAUUAGCCAUGUUUUAAGAAAAUAUUCCUUUAUUUAUUUGGCUGUGUCAGGUCUUAGGUGCGGCAUGUGGGAUCUUUUGUUUCGGUAUGUGGGAAUCUUUCGUUGUGGUGCUCAGGCUUUAUCUAGUUGUGGCACAUGGUUUAGUUGCCCUGAGGCGUGUAGAUCUUAGUUCCCCUAUCAGGGAUCAAACCGGAGUCCCCUACAUUGGAAGGUGGAUUCUCAACCACUGGACCACCAGGGAAGUCCCUAGAUAGUCAUGUUAAUGAUAGUUAUCUGCGGGUCAGCGUGAAAGAUAGUUUCCCUCUUUCUACCUUGUACUUACAGCGCUUCAACUUUUAUGUAAGUAAAAUGUAAGUAAAAUCAGGCAAAGCAGUAAACUUAUUUUUAUUUUGGAAAGAAAAUAAAAAUGGCAUUCCAUUGUCAAGAUAAAAGCCAGAUUUGGUAGAAUAAUAAAAACAGCUAAUAAUUUUAGAUGUUUCUUACCAGGCACCCCAUAGACUUCUAAGCCCUUUACAUAUAUUAAUUCAUGUACUUCUCACCAAAAGAGAUAGGUACUAGUAUUAUCCUCAUUUUAAGGUGAGAAAACUGAGGCAAAGAGAGGCAGAUAACAUGCCCAAGGUCAAAGCUAGUGAGAAGCAAAUUUCAGAUCAGAACCCAGACAGUCUGGUUCCAGAAUCCAUACUUUCAACCAAAAUUCUGAGCAUCUGCUUAAUGCCUAGCCUGGCUCUGGGUUGCAUAGAUGCCAAGGAGAAUCUGACCAAGGGACUUCCGGUCUGGACUGACCACAGCAACAGGGGUGCAACAGCCCCAUUGGCUUAGAAUGGAGCCUUCUUGGCCCAGCCCGGGGGCUCAGAGAAACUGGCAUGCUCUAGCUUAGCACUCCAUUCCCCCCCAGUCUGGCUCCCCUUUCUUUCUCGCCUUCUUACAGGGAAGGCCUCCCUCCCAACAGGGCAUCCCACCCCGAGCCAUAUCUAACCAUCCCCCUCUCUCUCAAGCCAUCAGGAAGAACCGAGGGCUCCUUCUUUGGGUCACCCCUCUACUUAGGAACCACAAGGCCGUCAUCCCCACUCACCUGUCCAUCUACCCCCUCAAAUGAACUUGUCUCAUUUCAUCUAUCCAUAAAAGUGUGUUAAAGGAGUAAAUGAACAAAUAUAGGCCAACUGGAUUGUAGCACGGUUGUGGUUGAAGGCUGCCAAGGCUCUGGGGGAUCUGGAGGGCUGAGCUGUCUGGCCUGGAGCCUCUGUGACCGCAGGAUCGGGAGGCAGAGCUGACAGGGCUGCUAGACCAACAUUAGCCCAGGUGUUGUUUCUGCAGCUUCUGAAAAACCCCCACCCCAGUGGGGAAGACUAAGAAAGGUCCCAUUCAGCUCCUCUUGGCAUUUCCAAGGGAAAGGAUGGGGUUGGGAUUGGCUGGGCUGGGCACAUCUUUUCUAAAAUAGCUUCAUGCAUAUUCAACUGCUCCCUGAAAUAGUUGGGUGGCUAUUUUAAGCGGCUUCUACUCAGAUGCCCACACAUAAUGGCAUCUACCUUGAACGUGUAAACCAGCAAGAAGCAAAGAAAAGGGUAUGAGAGGACAAUGCUAGGACGCCUUUGAUGGAUUCCUACCACUCCUCCCCCACCCCGUGGUGUGUUUUCCUCUCAGGGACUCGCUUGCAUGAAAUUGAAAGUCAUGGUUACUAUGACAACUGACUGGAGGAGUUUUCCCAUCCAGUGACCUCACCCACUGGAUCUCAGAAGGCACAACUACACCAGAAUGGCCAUCAUUUAAGGUGCAAUAACCUAAGUCCAUAACAGAAGUCCGUCAGUUUCCUCCUAAGAGAAUCCCUUAGUGCCUGUUUCCUCAUGGUUUGCACACAGUUCUAACAAGUUCCCAGCAGAAUGGAAGUGGAGGCGGUGGGAGGGCAGGAGGUUGAGAUUACAACAGACAACCCAGCUCUUAAGGUAAAGAGAGAACAGCUCUACAAAGGACACAUUUAUUAACAAAUAUGUACUGAAGCAUCAGUGUGUACCCUGUGCUGUUUGCUGGGGCAAUAAAGAUAAAUAAGACACAGGUCACGGGAUGAACAGGUAAACAGUUGUGUUUAUCUAAGCUCUACCUUUGUUUCUCCUGAAAAAGUUUCAAAAAAGAGGUUGGAAAUGCAUUGUUAGAAGCGCCGAGUUCAGAAAUACAAUGUCACAGGCGCCACGGUUGAGGAAAGGACCCUGGAUUUGCAAAGGAAGGAAACAGAUCUUCUGAGGAGGUUGGGAAGGUGAGGCUUGCGCAGAAGGACUGGAGCUCUUGGAAGGCAAGCAGGUGGAGGCCUCUGUGUGAGGUGGCAGGCACAGCACGUGCAAAGGAAGAGAGCUGGGAAACAGCGGGUUUGUUUGGGGACUUCCCAGCUUCAGGCGGCCAGAGC
ensembl:lncRNA